UACGGGGGGGGGCAAGCGUUGUUCGGAAUUACUGGGCGUAAAGGGCUCGUAGGCGGCCAACUAAGUCCGACGUGAAAUCCCAAGGCUUAACCUUGGAACUGCGUCGGAUACUGGAUGGCUUGAAUUCGGGAGAGGGAUGCAGAAUUCCCGGUGUAGCGGUGAAAUGCGUAGAGAUCGGGAGGAACACCGGCGGCGAAGGCGGCUGCCUGGACCAGUCCUGACGCUGAGGCGCGAAAGCUAGGGGAGCAAACAGG
rnacentral:rRNA from 1 species